AGCGAACGCUGGCGGCAGGCUUAACACAUGCAAGUCGAGCGGGCAUCUUCGGAUGUCAGCGGCAGACGGGUGGGUAACACGUGGGAACGUACCCUUGGGUUCGGAACAACUCUGGGAAACUGGAGCUAAUACCGGAUACGCCCUUAUGGGGAAAGGUUUACUGCCGAAGGAUCGGCCCGCGUCUGAUUAGCUAGUUGGUGGGGUAAGGGCCUACCAAGGCGACGAUCAGUAGCUGUUCUGAGAGGAUGAUCAGCCACACUGGGACUGAGACACGGCCCAGACUCCUACGGGAGGCAGCAGUGGGGAAUAUUGGACAAUGGGCGCAAGCCUGAUCCAGCCAUGCCGCGUGAGUGAUGAAGGCCUUAGGGUUGUAAAGCUCUUUUGUCCGGGACGAUAAUGACGGUACCGGAAGAAUAAGCCCCGGCUAACUUCGUG
rnacentral:rRNA from 1 species